rnacentral:rRNA from 1 species
GCUUACGGCCAUACCACCCUGAGCACGCCCGAUCUCAUCUGAUCUCGGAAGCUAAGCAGUGUCGGGCCUGGUUAGAACUUGGAUGGGAGACCGCCUGCGAAUACCAGGUGCUGUAAGCU